AAAGAAGGCAUUUAAAUAACAGCAUCUUGCAACCCGGGGAUAGAUCCUUUUCCGUUCCACUGAAGCUUGCAGAGAAAAGCGGGCUGUGAGAAGCAAGGCCCCGGAGGGGAGGCAGACAGACCCUGAGCCGUGCAAAUUUGUGCAAAUGCCUGGAUUUGCCCCGAAGGCAGAGAGGGUGGGGAGCUUCAGAGACCAACAGGGGGAAAUUUGUACAUAGAGACAUGCAGAGAGAGGAGCUGAUGUGAAGGCAUGGAGAGAUUUUCAUCUACAAGCCAAGGAAUGCCUGAGCUACCAGAAGCCAAGAGAGAGGCAAGGAACAGAGUCUGCCUCACAGCCCUUAAAAGCAAACAACCCUGCUGACAUCUUACGUUUGAACUUCCAGCUUCCAGAACUGUGAGACAAUAAACUUCUGUUGUUUAAGCAACU
rnacentral:lncRNA from 10 species